rnacentral:rRNA from 1 species
UUUAAUACAUGCAAGUCGAGCGAGAAAGUUUCUUCGGAAGCGAGUAAAGCGGCGAACGGGUGAGUAACGCGUAGGAAUCUACCAUUCAGCGGGGGAUAGCUCGGGGAAACUCGAAUUAAUACCGCAUAUACCCUACGGGGGAAAGAAGGCCUCUCCUUGGAAGCUUUCACUGUUUGAUGAGCCUGCGUGAGAUUAGUUUGUUGGUGAGGUAAUGGCUCACCAAGGCUACGAUCUCUAGCUGGUCUGAGAGGACGAUCAGCCACACUGGGACUGAGACACGGCCCAGACUCCUACGGGAGGCAGCAGUAGAGAAUAUUGGACAAUGGGGGCAACCCUGAUCCAGGCAUGCCGCGUGUGUGAAGAAGGCCUUAGGGUUGUAAAGCACUUUAGGUAAGGAAGAAAAGUUAAUUGUUAAUACCUUUUAACCCUGACAUUACUUACAGAAUAAGGACCGGCUAACUCCGUGCCAGCAGCCGCGGUAAUACGGAGGGUCCAAGCGUUAAUCGGAAUUACUGGGCGUAAAGCGCGCGUAGGCGGUAUGCUAAGUUGGGUGUGAAAUCCCCGGGCUUAACCUGGGAACUGCAUUCAAAACUUGCAUACUGGAGUACGGAAGAGGCGAGUAGAAUUCAUGGUGUAGCGGUGAAAUGCGUAGAUAUCAUGAGGAAUACCAAUGGCGAAGGCAACUCGCUGGUCCGUAACUGACGCUGAGGUGCGAAAGCGUGGGUAGCAAACAGGAUUAGAUACCCUGGUAGUCCACGCCGUAAACGAUGAGAACUAGCCGUUGGAUCCUUGAGGUUCAGUGGCACAGCUNACGCAUUAAGUUCUCCGCCUGGGG